UAGGGCAGGGAGCAGGAGUGUGCACACUGGGGGGUGUGUAGGGCAGGGGGGGGGCAGGCGUGUGCACAUGUCCGACAGCAAUCGUGUGUGCACGCUGGGGGAGGGGAAGCACGCGCGGAUGUAGGACAGCGACUGCCGUGUGCUUGGUGAGUGAGCAGAGGGAGGUGAAGUGUGUGUCCCCGGUGGGGAGGAGGAGAGCUGUGUGCACCUGGCGGGGUGGGGAGUGCGUCUGGGAGAAGCCGGUUAUCAGACACAGGUGGGGCACGGGGGUGCCCUCCCAACGCACCUGGUGUGGGAUGGUCCAUGCCGACCUCCCUCGGUCACGUGGUUCAGGGGGCACCUGGGUUUGAGCGUGCGGUAAUCGGCCACGUCUGUGGACCUGCUUCGGAAUUCUAGAAACGCCCCGAUGGUCACCACACCGUUGGCGGCUCUCGUCCUGGCCAGUGGUCGCCCUGGUGCUUGCCACGUGGUGCUCCUUGGUCCACCCUCGUCUGCCUUGGUCGGCUGGCUUUCCGCCCUUGGGCAGAGCCUGGCCGCCUGCCCCCUCCCCCGCCCCACCAGAGCCACAUCCACGUCUGCGAGGGUCUUCUCCCAGGCUGCGUAACCCCCUGCCGCCGCCAUCGGUUCUGACAAGUAUAGCUUUCGUCACAAGCGUGACGGCCCUGCUGCAGGGAGGUCUAGGGUGCCUGUGUGCCCGUGACCGGGGAAGGACACGCCUGAGAGCCAGACUCUGAAAUCAGGGUGGGGGGACAGCUUUCCGAACAGGCGCCAGGGCUGGGCCAGCCUGUACCGCCGCAGGAGUCUCGGGCCGGCCUUGUGACCCACCGCAGAGCCCGCACUGGGGCGUGACACCCCACCCUUCCUUCCCCGUGACCCCCCUGUCCCGCGCCGAUCCGUGGCCGCUCCCCACUCGCCAUCGCUCAGGGCCCACACCCCCUCCCCCCAGCACAUCACCAGACUUCGGUGCCCAGGAGCCCGGGCCCCGCGGACACACCGUCCCUGGAACUCUCUGGAGCAGGUGUCACACACACGGAACCAGCGGGCAGCUGCGGACGGAGACCUGUGUCCUGACCACCCUGCCCGCCCCCUUCCCCCCGGGGCCUCAAGGUGCUGGCAGGCGAUGGUGGCCUGACAGCCACUCCCAGCCUGUGUGGACUCGCUGUGCCCUGAGGAGGGGCCUCGGCGCCUCGGGAACCGAGGCCUUGCUUCCUGAGGCCCCUGGAGACCACCUGGUCACUGCCCGCCGGGAGGUGGGCUGGGGACGUGUCAUAAUUUUGACGAAGCCUGAUUUUUGUCUUUUUUCUUCUGUCACUUGUGCGUCUGGUGUCAUUACUAAGAAAUCACGGUCUCACCCAAGGUCGGCAGAAUUACCCCGGUGUUUCCUUGUGAGGGUUUUGUAGUUUCUGUUCUUACCUUUAGGCCUUUGAUCUCUUUGGGGUUAACUCUGUGUGUGUGUCAGUUAGGUUUCUGUGAGUAGACUGUCCCCCAGCGGAUGGACUUGGCACCUUCCCGGUGUCCUGUCAUUUACUUAGCCAUCUGCCCCGCUGGGACGUGAACCCGGAAGGGCAAGGCUCGUCGGCUUUCACGGACCCCCACAUCUCUGAGCCUAACGCCCCGGAGCUGCCUGGGCUCCCCUGGAAACCGGGGCACGUGCAUCUGAACCCAGCUGGGGGGAGGGGUGGUGUCCGGGGCCUUUGUGGAGGGGUGCAGUAACGGGUGGGGGGAUGGGCCGAUGGAUUCAUUGGUCCCUGGUGAGCCCCCUGAGGUCAGGGUCAGGGUUCACUUGGGGUCCAGCACAGGCAGUGGGAUAGAAGAAAGCCUGGACCGCAGCGGAUGACUGUGGCCAAGGUGCCUGGGGGGGGGGGGGGGGGGGGGGGCAGGAGGGGAGUCGCGGAGGCCGGGAAGGGGGAAGGGCCCUGGGAACGGUGUGCCCGGCCCUUGGUUCCGCAGACGCUCCCAGGCCUGCGUGACUCAGCAGGCUGGUGGCAGGAAUAGGAGGGGACCCCGGGGCCAAAGCUGGGGGUCCUGGUUGCUCCGGCCCCCAGACGCUAGACGGUGCUGCCUCCUGGCCCCACACCGAGCCCCGCUUCCCUUUGUGGGCAUCCUGCCGUCCCGCCCACGUGCCCCGCCGGCUGUGUGUGGCCCCGGAGCAGAGUGCCGGACCCUCCUUGGCUGGACCGUGGCAGCAGUGGCGCCCCGGUGCUGCCCGCGGGAACAGCAGAGGCCGUGACGUGAGCCGAACCUGUUCUGUGGUCCCACGCGUGCCCUGUCUUCCUGGUGCGCCUACUUGAAGAACCCCCGCCCCCACCCCAGCCUCACUUCGAGCCCCUGAGGCGCACGGGCCUGACCUCAUGGCCGCCACGUGUCUGCGUGUGUGCGUGGGUGUGCACGAGCACUUCCUGUCGGGAGCAGGAUAGGAGAUUCAGUUUUACGGAAGAGACAGAAGCCACAUCCAACCCCCGUGGGAGUGGACUGACAAGGGAGGGGAAGAGAAAGCCCGGAAGGGAACGAGUACGCUCAGGGUCCACAGAGGCGGAGGGAGCCACACCAUUCGAUGGGGAAAGAAUGGCCUCCUCCGCAAGCAGAGUUUUGCCAGCUGGAUUUGCACGUGCCAAGGAAGGAAGGUGACCCCACCUGACCUCUGUCAGCAGCCCUCAAAGUGGAUCGAGGCCCCGGAUGUCGGGGCUGAAACUAGAGCUCCCAGAAGCCAACGUGGGGGCAUCUGUUGUGGCCUCAGGUCGGGCACAGGCGCCGACUGCCCCAGCACAGAGACCGCAGGCUCAGACUGGUGGGCGGGGAGAUGGCCACCCACCCACCCACAGGAGGGAGGAGGUGGGCGCAGACCCCGAUCUCACGGACUGUGGGAGCUUCUCUAGGUCGACAGAAGGGCAGCCCAACUCUAAAACGGACAAAGGGUGUGCGUCGACCUCUGUCCAGAGCAGACGAUGCAGGUGGCCUUUGAGCGAGUGCCGAGGAGCUCAGUGUCACGGGCGUUGGGGAGGGGCCGGUCAGAGCAGGGUGGCCCUGUGACCAAAGACAGACUGUGACCCGUGUCGCUGAAGACGCAGCCGUUCUCGGCAGUGUUCUUCCCUCGUGUUCUCAGUGGAUCGUGUUUCCUUACUUCUCGAGGAUGUCAGUAACACCACUUUGAAGUCCCCUUCUCUCCACACGACGUUUAUCUUGUUCAGGUCGCUUUUGGUUUGUUUGCUUGGCCUCUGACUUUGAGAUCAGACACUUUGUUCUGACGUGAUGCCCUGUGGGGUCAGGAAGGGCCUAGAAACCUGGCCAGGGCUGCGCGCACCCCAGGGGCCCAUGUCCUGAGCUGAGACCCAGAUCCUGAGCUGAUGGGCUGGGCUCAGGAUCUGGGUUUUCUCUCCUCUGUCCUCAAUUUCACGGUAGAAUCUUCUAGUCUUGCUGCAGGACACAGGCUUGGCCACCAACACCGGGGAAGCCUGUGCAGGGAGGUGGGGGGGGGGACAACAAGGGGUGGGAGAGGGUCCGCAUGCGGGGGGAGUGAUGUGGGGGCCCCCUUCCCCAUCGAAUGGUCUGGGCGCCCUUGUCGAGAGCCAGCUGACCGUGGGUGGAGGGGUUCCUGCCUGGGCCCUGCUCUGUCCCCUUGCCCCGCGUUCCUGUCUCUGCCUCCACUGCUGAAGCUUUGGAGUUGAGGCCUGUGAGUCACUACCUGCUUUCUGAGCAGACCUGGCCGCCCCUUCACUCUCCCUUCUGAGCAGGACCAGCCGGGCCCAGGGCCGGGGAGCCAGAACUCGGUUUUAUCGGCGGGGGCUCCACCCUCAGACCCCCGGGGUGUGUGUGUGUGUGUGUGUGUGUGUGUGUGUGUGUGUGUGUGUGUGUGUGUCAGAAGAUUUCUCUCCUCACAAACACGCCUGUUAACUGUCGACUGGCUGGCCUUUCGGGAGGGGGUGACAUCCGAUGGCUGCAGGGCCCCGAGCCCUCGAAAAAGGCCGGGAGACUGGCCUGCCCUCCCCGCCUCCCCCAGCCCCGUGGUCCCACAGCAGCGGCACGGGGUGGGAACAGGGGUGCGGCACACGGGGCCCCGCACCGUCAGCGUGCCCGGGGCCGAGAUGACGCCGAGCUCUGCUGCCUGGAGGAGGAG